CCUACGGGAGGCAGCAGUGGGGAAUAUUGGACAAUGGGGGCAACCCUGAUCCAGCCAUGCCGCGUGUGUGAAGAAGGCCCUCGGGUUGUAAAGCACUUUCAGUGAGGAAGAACGCCUGGUGGUUAAUACCCAUCAGGAAAGACAUCACUCACAGAAGAAGCACCGGCUAACUCCGUGCCAGCAGCCGCGGUAAUACGGAGGGUGCGAGCGUUAAUCGGAAUUACUGGGCGUAAAGCGCGCGUAGGUGGCUUGAUAAGCCGGAUGUGAAAGCCCCGGGCUCAACCUGGGAACGGCAUCCGGAACUGUCAAGCUAGAGUGCAGGAGAGGAAGGUAGAAUUCCCGGUGUAGCGGUGAAAUGCGUAGAGAUCGGGAGGAAUACCAGUGGCGAAGGCGGCCUUCUGGACUGACACUGACACUGAGGUGCGAAAGCGUGGGUAGCAAACAGGAUUAGAUACCCCAGUAGUC
rnacentral:rRNA from 1 species